UCGCCUCCCAAUUCCAGCUGCCAAAGGCGACCGACCCCGGCGACGCUCGAUCCGGUGAGCCUGGAGCGCUCGUCGCGGCCGUCUUCCUCCUCCCUGGCCCCGCCUCCCGCCUCCUGUGUGCGCGCGCUCCUCCCCCUCUCUCCCCCCCCCUCGCUGCCGACCUCGCCCGCCCCUUCGCCGCCGCCAUGGCCGUCCGUGCCGUCCGCGUGCUCCAUGUCGACAGCUACGACUCCCCCGCGCAAGAGCAGACGCACAAGAGCCCUUUAUCCUCCUAAACAUGCACAAACUCCUCCUAAACAGCGUGCGCCGCCGCCGAUCUGUGCUCUCCUCUCCACGCCGCCGAUUUGUCCUCUUCGGCUUCCUUCCAGCUCCAUGUGCUCCUUCCUCUCACCACCGCCCCAAUCCUCCCCGGCGCCACACCCAGCCUCCUCCACGUCUAUCUCCUGGCGCUGGCGGAUGUGUUCAAUUUGGAGGGAAUUCAGUGCCAUGUCCGUGCAGAAGAAAUACUCCAACACGAUAGCCAUGGAUGGCCCAUCUGGAUUUCACAAAUUCUUUGGUGCCAUAGAAAGAAAGCCUCCACCGGAUUAGAUCACAAGUUCUAAAGACGAACAACUCAAUGUCGCGUCCGCCAACUUCGCCUGAAGACCAUCCACCGUUGUCACCAUCGACUUUGCCGCAAGACCAUCCGCAAUCGCCUCCGCCGACUUUGUCGGAAGACCAUCAAUCGUCGCCUAGACCUACUUCGUCGCAGUGCUUCUUGCUGUACAAGACCACAUCUGGUUUCCACCAAGAAGCUGGAUCAGCGACAUUGGACUCUGAGCUGGCAUGGUACGGCUACACUUCCAACAGUUUUACUUGCUAACAAAAAAUCAAGUAUAACUAAAAGAAUAUAUCUUUCUCUUGCUGAAAUAGGUUUGGACGCACAGUGUGAUAUAUAUAUAUAUAUAUAUAUAUAUAUAUAUAUAUAGAGAGAGAGAGAGAGAGAGAGAGAGAGAGAAAAGUCUAUGUAUUGUGUAAGUCCAUGCUCUCUACAAUCAAAGCCGUCCAUCCAGCAUGUGGAUCUGUUCCAGGCAAGCUUUGUCUCUUUCCAUCUUUGAAUUAAACAAUUUUCCGCAGCUCUCUCAUAUUUCCUCUUUUAGCUUGGUGGUCCAUAGCCUAGCUGCAGUCUAGACCACAUGCCUAUGUGUUUGUCUGGCCGGACGGCACCAUUUGACACAAAGAGUUCCAGACUAUGCCGGACCUUUUUACGAUGUUGUGAGAACAACAGACACUCAUUUUAGGCAAAGUGCAAUACUAUUCGUCAGUGCUUUGUUUUGUUUCUCUGACCAGCACUAAUACCAUGUCACGGACAUCAUAUUCAUCGCGUUUGCAACGAGCAACGCCCUACAACCCCCUUGCCAGCAUGGAUUAUUUUACAGUUAAGGAAAUUUGGGUUAUCAAGUUAGCUGUCGGGGAGCAUCCAUGGACGGUGACAACCCCUUUUUUCUUUGCGACAGCAGCGAGCCGGAUGUUAGGCGUCGGUCUUCAGAUUCUAGAGACCAUGAACGGCCUUUCCUUCUCUGUGUUGGUUAUGUGAGAGGCAACGAGGAGGACCUGCGUUGGUUAUGUGCAUCAAGCUUAGUAGUCUGUAGUCCUAUUUUUUGUUAUGUCAGUAUCUUCAGUUAUGGUACGAUUUGUAUCAUGUCAUAACCAACAUAUUCAUUGCCAUGUACUGCAUUAGACGCAUUGUUAUCAAAUGGAUUUACCAGAUUU